AUACGUAGGGUGCAAGCGUUAAUCGGAAUUACUGGGCGUAAAGCGUGCGCAGGCGGUUUUGUAAGACAGAGGGGAAAUCCCCGGGCUCAACCUGGGAAAUGCCUUUGUGGCUGCAAGGCUAGAGUACGGCAGAGGGGGAUGGAAUUCCGCGUGUAGCAGUGAAAUGCGUAGAUAUGCGGAGGAACACCGAUUGCGAAGGCAAUCCCCUGGGCCUGUACUGACGCUCAUGCACGAAAGCGUGGGGAGCAAACAGGAUUAGAUACCCUGUUAGUCCACGCCCUAAACGAUGUCAACUGGUUGUUGGGUCUUCAUUGACUCAGUAACGAAGCUAACGCGUGAAGUUGACCGCCUGGGGAGUACGGCCGCAAGGUUGAAACUCAAAGGAAUUGACGGGG
rnacentral:rRNA from 1 species